UACGAAGGGGGCUAGCGUUGUUCGGAUUUACUGGGCGUAAAGCGCACGUAGGCGGAUCGUUAAGUCGGGGGUGAAAUCCUGGAGCUCAACUCCAGAACUGCCUUCGAUACUGGCGAUCUUGAGUCCGGAAGAGGUGAGUGGAACUCCUAGUGUAGAGGUGGAAUUCGUAGAUAUUGGGAAGAACACCAGUGGCGAAGGCGGCUCACUGGUCCGGUACUGACGCUGAGGUGCGAAAGCGUGGGGGAGCAAACAGGG
rnacentral:rRNA from 1 species